UAGUCCACGCCGUAAACGAUGAUUACUCGGUAUUGGCUUCGGUCAGUGCCCAAGCGAAAGUGAUAAGUAAUCCACCUGGGGAGUACGCCCGCAAGGGUGAAACUCAAAGGAAUUGACGGGGGCCCGCACAAGCGGUGGAGCAUGUGGUUUAAUUCGAUGAUACGCGAGGAACCUUACCAGGGUUUAAAUGCAGAACGACAGGGGUGGAAACACCCCCUUCUUCGGACGGACUGCAAGGUGCUGCAUGGUUGUCGUCAGCUCGUGCUGUGAAGUGUCGGGUUAAGUCCCAUAACGAGCGCAACCCCCAUUUCUAGUUGCCAGCGGUUCGGCCGGGGACUCUAGAGAAACUGCCAGCGUAAGCUGUGAGGAAGGUGGGGAUGGACGUCAAAUCAUCACGGCCCUUACAUCCUGGGGCCACACACCGUGCUACAAUGGGUGGGGACAACAGGGUUGCCAAACCCGCGAGGGGUGAGGCCAAUCCCAAAACCCCAUCCUCAGUUCGGGAUCGGGA
rnacentral:rRNA from 1 species